rnacentral:rRNA from 1 species
UACGGAGGGUGGCGAGCGUUGUCCGGAUUUAUUGGGUUUAAAGGGUGGUACGGUAGGUGGCUUUGAUUAAGUCAGUGGUGAAAUACAGCCGCUUAACGGUUGAGGUGCCAUUGAUACUGUAGAGCUUGAAACAAUUGGAGGCUGCCGGAAUGGAUGGUGUAGCGGUGAAAUGCAUAGAUAUCAUCCAGAACACCGAUUGCGAAGGCAGGUGGCUACGUUUGAUUUGACACUGAGGCACGAAAGCAUGGGGAGCAAACAGG